UACGUAGGGUGCAAGCGUUAAUCGGAAUUACUGGGCGUAAAGCGUGCGCAGGCGGUUAUGUAAGACAGGUGUGAAAUCCCCGGGCUUAACCUGGGAACUGCAUUUGUGACUGCAUCGCUGGAGUGCGGCAGAGGGGGAUGGAAUUCCGCGUGUAGCAGUAAAAUGCGUAGAUAUGCGGAGGAACACCGAUGGCGAAGGCAAUCCCCUGGGCCUGCACUGACGCUCAUGCACGAAAGCGUGGGGAGCAAACAGG
rnacentral:rRNA from 1 species